GACGAACGCUGGCGGCGUGCCUAAUACAUGCAAGUAGAACGCUGAAGGAGGAGCUUGCUUCUCCGGAUGAGUUGCGAACGGGUGAGUAACGCGUAGGUAACCUGCCUGGUAGCGGGGGAUAACUAUUGGAAACGAUAGCUAAUACCGCAUAAGAGUAGAUGUCGCAUGACAUUUGCUUAAAAGGUGCAACUGCACCACUACCAGAUGGACCUGCGUUGUAUUAGCUAGUUGGUGAGGUAACGGCUCACCAAGGCAACGAUACAUAGCCGACCUGAGAGGGUGAUCGGCCACACUGGGACUGAGACACGGCCCAGACUCCUACGGGAGGCAGCAGUAGGGAAUCUUCGGCAAUGGACGGAAGUCUGACCGAGCAACGCCGCGUGAGUGAAGAAGGGUUUCGGAUCGUAAAGCUCUGUUGUAAGAGAAGAACGAGCGUGAGAGUGGAAAGUUCACACUGUGACGGUAUCUUACCAGAAAGGGACGGCUAACUACGUG
rnacentral:rRNA from 1 species